GGCGGCGAGCGGCGAACGGGUGAGUAAUGCAUCGGAACGUAUCCUGUAGUGGGGGAUAACCCAGCGAAAGUUGGGCUAAUACCGCAUGAGCUCUGAGGAGGAAAGCGGGGGACCUGAAAGGGCCUCGCGCUGCCGGAGCGGCCGAUGUCCGAUUAGCUAGUUGGUGGGGUAAAGGCUUACCAAGGCGACGAUCGGUAGCUGGUCUGAGAGGAUGAUCAGCCACACUGGGACUGAGACACGGCCCAGACUCC
rnacentral:rRNA from 1 species